UGUUGAUGGAGGACUUCUGGAAAUCCUCAGGAAUGGAACAGAGUCUGCAUCUGGGUCAUCAUCAGAGCCCAAGUAGUCACUUGCUACCACAACUUUUUGCUGUCAUGGAACUGAUUGAAGCCUUAGAAGAAGCUAGAAGAAUGCUCUCUAUGGCCCGAGGAAGCUGCUGGGCUGAGAGUCCAUCAUCUGCUUCAGGAGUCAUGGCUGAGGACCUACUGUCAGG
rnacentral:lncRNA from 1 species